UACGUAGGGUGCAAGCGUUGUCCGGAAUUAUUGGGCGUAAAGAGCUCGUAGGCGGUUUGUCGCGUCUGCCGUGAAAGUCCGGGGCUCAACUCCGGAUCUGCGGUGGGUACGGGCAGACUAGAGUGAUGUAGGGGAGACUGGAAUUCCUGGUGUAGCGGUGAAAUGCGCAGAUAUCAGGAGGAACACCGGUGGCGAAGGCGGGUCUCUGGGCAACAACUGACGCUGGGGAGCGAAAGCGUGGGGAGCGAACGAGG
rnacentral:rRNA from 1 species